rnacentral:rRNA from 1 species
UACGUAGGGUGCAAGCGUUAAUCGGAAUUACUGGGCGUAAAGCGUGCGCAGGCGGUGAUGUAAGACAGUUGUGAAAUCCCCGGGCUCAACCUGGGAACUGCAUUUGUGACUGCAUGGCUGGAGUGCGGCAGAGGGGGAUGGAAUUCCGCGUGUAGCAGUGAAAUGCGUAGAUAUGCGGAGGAACACCGAUGGCGAAGGCAAUCCCCUGGGCCUGCACUGACGCUCAUGCACGAAAGCGUGGGGAGCAAACAGG